GAUGAAGAACGCAGCGAAAUGCGAUAACUAAUGUGAAUUGCAGAAUUCAGUGAAUCAUCGAAUCUUUGAACGCACAUGGCGCCUUCCAGUAUCCUGGGAGGCAUGCCUGUCCGAGCGUCGUUUCAACCCUCGAGCCCCCGUGGCCCGGCGUUGGGGAUCUGCCACGGCAGGCCCCUAAAACCAGUGGCGGACCCGAAGGCCCUCUCCUUUGCGCAGUAGCAUCAGCCUCGCAUUGGGAUCCCUCGGCGUCCUGCCUCUAAACCCCCCACAAGUCCGCUCCGGCGGCACCAAGGUUGACCUCGGAUCAGGUAGGAAUACCCGCUGAACUUAAGCAUAUCAAUAAGCGGAGGA
rnacentral:misc_RNA from 1 species